GGGGCCUAUUGAAACAGGUGACUGACAGUGAGCAGAGCACGCUGUUUGAAGAGUCUGCUCGUCCUGGCCGAUGCUGCACGCUAAACAUGGAUUUUCGAAAAAAAACUUUAAAAGGUCCAUAAGCCAGAUGGUGGAAUGCUGUCCUGUUCUUUUUACAGAAGAUCAGGUGUUCAUGGAGUUCAACAGGAUUGUGGGAAAGAACAUAAAGCAGGAAUUCUAUGAAAGCAUUAAUCGACACAGUCUUCAUCUAAUUGAUAUCUUUCGAUCUAAGAGAGGGAAUGUUGGACAGCUGUUGACGCCGCUUUCACAACAAAAGACUCCGAUGGUGAUCACUCAUUUUGCCACCUUGACUUUGGGAUCCCCCUUGUUGAGCAUGAAGGUGCUGUGCUCCCAUCUUCUCUUCAUCUCAAUCCAGCUUCAAUUAAGAUCAUCAUUGAGGGAGAAGUUGUGAUGGAAGGUAUUAAAGACUUGCUAAAAGCUGUGUGCAUUCUCUUUGGACUUGCAUAUGCACUGUAUCUCAACUACCCCAAAUCAAUGAAGAACACAUUCCAGUUCACCCAACAAGUACUUCUCAUGUUGGGCCACAGUGAACUAAAACACAGCUUACAAGUACAUUGAGUACAUUGAAGUGUUUCCUUUUUUUCUUUUUUGUCAACAAUAAAAAAAAAAUAAAUAAAAAAAAAACAUUGAAAUGUUCUUAUUGUUUAAUUUCUUCAAAUUAAUACAAAAAAAAUAAAUAAAUGUAAGUAGUAUCAUUUUUUAAAUUAUAAGACAUUACUUAAAUAUAACAUUUCUACUUAAAAUCAUUUGUUUAACUUAAUAGUUAUUUUAUAAAACGUAUGCUCAAAAUAAUGUGAACUAAUGAAUUUCAGUAAAGACUACUAAUAUAAACUUGAUUUGUCUACUGCACAACUUAGGAUUUUAUGUUCAUACAACUUAACCUGUUUAGAUUCAUCUUGUGUAAAAACUAAAAUGGAUUAGUGCAACGGGUUUCCACGCAAAUUUCUAGUAAAGUCAACUAAUUCGGGUUAAGAGUGUGCUGCCUCCUGUUGCUCCGCAUGGCUUGUGUCCUGUGCUGAGAAUUCUUACUUUGUUCUGUUGUUGUCGUUGUGGCAUUAUGAUGUCCUUGUCCUGUAACUGUAUUUUAUUUAUUUAUUUAUUUUUUUCUUUGUUUGUUUGUUUUUGUUUUAAAGGUUUUAAAACAUCUAGCCAAAGGACUGAGGUUGAAAAUUAGCCAGCUGGUGUCACGUAUAGUUUUGGGUUUUGUUUUCAUGUUUAUGAUUACAUGUCUUUUAUUUGGUAGUUUGGUUCAUGUUGCUUGUUUGUGUCAUGCUUCCCUUGCUCCUCAUGUUCUCCCUUAGUCUAUGUGUCAUGUUCUCAUUGGUUGUUUAUGGUCAUGUGUUUCUGAGUUCUGUUCUGUCAUUGGUUCCCCUGUUCCUUGUGUCACUUCCCCAUUGGUUGUCUUAGUCAUGUGUUCUCUUAGUUCUUGUAUUUAAAACCAUUGUCUUCCCCAUGGUAGUUUGUCGUGUAUUGUUAAUGUAACCCUGCUGUCGGUGAGUGUUAUGUUCAAGUCAAGUCUGUUCAAGUCAAGUCUGUUCAAGUCAAGUCUGUUCAUGUUCAUGUCAACUGGUUGCUUUGUUUGUUUGUUCACUCUGAUACAAUAAACUGCACUUGGGUUCAUCAUCUCGCCUUCAGUUUGGACUGGAUCGUUACAGCUGGCUAAC